GACGAACGCUGGCGGCGUGCUUAACACAUGCAAGUCGAACGGAAAGGCCCUUCGCUUGCUUCUCGUACGUUAGGGGUGAGUGGCACGUUGACGAUUUGCCCUCCUCCUUGUGAUAAGCCUAUAACUCUGGGUCUCCUGCCGAAUCGGCGCAUGCUCUUCUUCGUCGCUGGUUGCAAUCUUUUGCGGUGUUGGUUGGGUCCGCGGUCUAUCAGUUUGUUGGUGGUGUACUGGUCUACCAAGGCGAAGACGGCUAGCCGGCCUGAGAGGGUGACCGGCGACACUGGGACUGAGAGAGGGACCAGACGCCUACGGGAGGCAGAAGGGGGGAAUAUUGCACAAUGGGCGCAAGCCUGAUGCAGAGACGCCGCGUGAGGGAUGACGGCCUUCGGGUUGUAAACAUCUUUCAAAAGGGACGAAGCGGAAGUGACGGUACCUAAUGAAGAAGCACCGGCUAACUACGUG
rnacentral:rRNA from 1 species